UACGUAGGGUGCAAGCGGUAAUCGGAAUUACUGGGCGGAAAGCGUGCGCAGGCGGUUUUGUAAGUCUGACGUGAAAUCCCCGGGCUCAACCUGGGAAUGGCGUUGGAGACUGCAAGGCUAGAAUCUGGCAGAGGGGGGUAGAAUUCCACGUGUAGCAGUGAAAUGCGUAGACAUGUGGAGGAACACCGAUGGCGAAGGCAGCCCCCUGGGUCAAGAUUGACGAUCAUGCACGAAAGCGUGGGGAGCAAACAGG
rnacentral:rRNA from 1 species